rnacentral:lncRNA from 1 species
CUUGUUUUUGCUGAGGCUGCACCUGUCAACGUUGGCAAAACUAUUCAUGUUUGGGAAGUUUGUCUUUGGAAGAUUGAUCCAAACAAUGAAGAAAACAAGACUUUGAUAGCAUCAUCAAGAGUCACCCUUAAGGCCAACAUGUCUGUACCUGAAAAUGCCAAAGAUGCUGCUGUCAAUCUCAAGAAAUAUGCUAAGUUAUGAUCAGGUUUAAUUGAGUUUGUCUGCAGCAUAUAUAUUUGAUUGUAAGCAAAACUGUACAUAGCUGGGCUUGCAGCGAUUAAAAAACAAUAAAUCCCAACUCGUGAUACUGUGAUUCAAAUUGUAACUCUUUCCUUGUUGCAAUCUAAUUGCGAAGAAAGACAAGAGAUGGCUUGAACCGAUUUUGGAGUUUGAUGCUCCAUCAAUAAUUAAUAAAUUAUUUAUUCACUCUCUUGCUUUUACUGUAUUUACUGACAUACUAAUAUAUCGCAUCUAAUUCCAAAUUCGAUAAGAUUUCUGGGGUCCAAAUAUGUAAUACGUAUUUUUCUGUGGGAAAAGAUGGAAGGAACAAACCACCAGCCAAUUAAGUGCCGACCAUUAGGUUUACCCUUACAUUAAUAUACCAAUCAAGAUGCUUUAAUUUUUUCACCUACCACGCACUUUAACCUUUAUCCUUUCUUCUUCCUCACAGCUAUCCCAAAGUCCAAACUCCAAUCAUCAUCUUCAUCUUCAAUCUAGUUCUUCUCUGCCACUUUCAUCAAGAUUCUUGAUUUCCAUAAACAGAUCAGAUUUACCAUUUCAGAAUAUCUGAAUCCAAAAAAGAAACUCCCUUUUCUAUUUAUCAAAAAUUGACGCUGUUGAGAUAUGAAUAUUUCUUACCCUAUUACUUUGAAGGAACAAUAGUGUAACAAAAAGGUUCAUUCCAAUUUGGACAAGCGCUUCUACUAAAGCUAGGAAAGUGAGUCAAACCUUUCGGCCCUCCAAGACCAAGAGCUCAUUUCAAGAUAGCAGAAAAUAUGGAACCGCCACCAUCAGGGGUAAAGGCUCGAGCUUUAGAUAUUCCACUUUAUGAGAUUGGCUUUGAGUUCGUAGAAAUCACACCCCGCAAACUCACCGGCCGUCUUCCUGUGACCGAAAAGUGUUGCCAGCCAUUCAAGGUGUUGCACGGUGGAGUUUCAGCUCUGAUAUCUGAGGCUUUGGCAAGUAUGGGAGCACACAUGGCUUCUGGUUUUUCGCGAGUGGCUGGAAUUCAUCUUAGCAUACACCAUCUCAAGAGUGCUCAAAUUGGGGACCUUGUUUUUGCUGAAGCUGCACCAGUCAACAUUGGCAAAACUAUUCAUAUUUGGGAAGUUUGUCUUUGGAAGAUUGAUUCAAACAAUGAGGAAAACAAGACUUUGAUAGCAUCAUCAAGAGUCACCCUUAAGACCAACAUGUCUGUACCUGAUAAUGCCAAAGAUGCUGCUGUCAAUCUCAAGAAAUAUGCUAAGUUAUGAUCAAGUUCAGUUGAGUUUGUUUGCAGCAUAUUCGAUUGUAUAAGCAAAACUGUAGAGAGUAACAAGGCAAUAAAGUAGAGCAAAGAGUAUUAUUGGGUGUGCAAAACAUGUUGUGAACCCCUUGCUAUUGUUUGUCCUGAUAAGUUGUUUUGAAUACCCAAAAAAGAGUAAAAACU